rnacentral:rRNA from 1 species
UACGGAGGGAGCUAGCGUUGUUCGGAAUUACUGGGCGUAAAGCGCGCGUAGGCGGCUUUGUAAGUUAGAGGUGAAAGCCCGGAGCUCAACUCCGGAACUGCCUUUAAAAACUGCAUCGCUUGAAUCCAGGAGAGGUGAGUGGAAUUCCGAGUGUAGAGGUGAAAUUCGUAGAUAUUCGCAAGAACACCAGUGGCGAAGGCGGCUCACUGGCCCGAUACUGACGGCUGAGG